rnacentral:rRNA from 1 species
AAGCGCACGCAGGCGGUCUGUCAAGUCGGAUGUGAAAUCCCCGGGCUCAACCUGGGAACUGCAUUCGAAACUGGCAGGCUAGAGUCUUGUAGAGGGGGGUAGAAUUCCAGGUGUAGCGGUGAAAUGCGUAGAGAUCUGGAGGAAUACCGGUGGCGAAGGCGGCCCCCUGGACAAAGACUGACGCUCAGGUGCGAAAGCGUGGGGAGCAAACAGGAUUAGAUACCCUGGUAGUCCACGCCGUAAACGAUGUCGAUUUGGAGGUUGUGCCCUUGAGGCGUGGCUUCCGGAGCUAACGCGUUAAAUCGACCGCCUGGGGAGUACGGCCGCAAGGUUAAAACUCAAAUGAAUUGACGGGGGCCCGCACAAGCGGUGGAGCAUGUGGUUUAAUUCGAUGCAACGCGAAGAACCUUACCUG